rnacentral:lncRNA from 1 species
GCGGUACCUAGAGUGGACAAGGACAACUCUGCUUUUUGACUCUUUAAAUCUCUGGACCUUGAUCUGCUUGGAAACUCAUCAUACAAUCUUAAUUUCUUGUUCUACUAAUUCUCUUCUCUUAAUCUACAACAGCAAUGGCAGAAAAUGCUGGAGAAGUAUGCCAGUCAAACCUGCCCAAUUUUCUUCUCUCCAUUAGACUCAAAUAUGUAAAACUUGGAUACCAUUACCUAAUAUCAAAUGCAGUUUAUCUCCUCAUCGUCCCAAUUCUUGCUGCUGUCGGACUUCAUCUUUCAACCUUUACUCUUGAAAACCUAAUGAACCAUCCUGUCAUGUUGAAAUCUUUUUCAACUCUCGUUGUUUACUUAACGACAGUUUACUUCGUGAGUCGUCCAAGAAAUGUUUACUUAGUCGAUUUUGCAUGUUAUAAGCCACCUCAAUGUUUUAUGACAUCUAGACAAGGUUUCAUAGAAAAAAUGUCCGACAUUUUGGACGAAGAAAGCUUAAAUUUUCUAAAGAAAAUCUCGAAGUGGUCAGGUUUAGGUGAAAAGACUUACGUUCCAGCCGAGUCAAAGAUCCCAUCAAGUGUUCCAAUGAGUAUUAAUCAAAAUGAAGCGAAAAUGGUUAUCAUUGGUGCCAUAGACGAUCUAUUGGCGAAAACCGGAGUCAAGGUUCAAGAGAUUGGGAUUGUUAUCGUCAAUUCUAGUGCGUUUAAUCCAACGCCAUCUCUUUCUGCGAUGAUUGUCAACCAUUAUAAGCUUGGCGUCAAUGUGAUUACCUAUAACCUCGGCGGCAUGGGCUGCAGUGCUGGACUCAUUUCUGUUGACCUAGCUAACCGGCUUUUACAGGUUGGUAUAUCUUCAUAUAAUUCUAAAUUUUCAGGUUGAGAAACAAUCGAACUAAAUAAUUAAGAGUGUGCUUUCUUCAACUACUUAAGUUUUAAAUUAGACGGUCAUAUAAUUCAAUAUGGUAUCAGAGCAGGCAAGAUGUCUCAAGUUCAAAUCGUGCCAUCAUCCAAUAUGCAAAAAGUAUUGAGACAUAAUAUGAUUAAUUGAAAGUGCAAGCACUUUUAAAUGAUAAUGUAACACAACUGAAAAAUUCUCCACCCUUUAAUUUGAGCAUUUUCUCUGAAAAUUUAAGGCGUAGGAACACUCUUAUGUUCCAAUAAGAUUUAAAAACUAAAAGGUGUAUGUCAUGAUUUUCCAUUUCUUGGUGAUCAAAAUUGUUGAUGUGUCAAAUAAUUGAACAGGGGCAAGCCAACUCUUAUGCACUUAUAGCAAGCACGGAAAUAAUAUCAUCGGCCUACUAUUCGGGGAAGCUGAAAUCAAAGCUUUUAUCAAAUUGCCUUUUCCGGAUGGGUGCAUCUGCUAUUCUCAUGUCAAAUCGUUCCUCCGAUCGUAGACGCUCAAAAUAUCAACUGAUGCACGUCGUUCGCACCCAUAAAGGUGCGGAUGACAGAGCAUUCGGUUGUGCCUACCAAGAUGAAGAUGAGGAUGAAAAGAAAGGCGUGUCAUUGUCAAAAGACUUAAUGGCAGUUGCUGGUGAAGCCUUAAAAACUAAUAUCACAACUCUUGGCCCUCUAGUCCUCCCCAUGUCCGAGCAACUCCUCUUUUUCGCCUCCUUAAUCGCGAGAAAAGUCUUUAAAAGGAAAAUGAAACAAUAUAUCCCUGAUUUCAAGAUGACGUUCGAGCACUUCUGCAUUCACGCAGGGGGGAGAGCAGUAUUGGAUGAACUUGAGAAGAAUCUGGAUCUCCCAAAAGUGCUUAUGGAGCCUUCAAGAAUGACUCUUUAUAGGUUCGGAAAUACUUCAAGUAGCUCAGUGUGGUACAAUUUGGCCUACUCCGAAGCCAAAGGAAGGAUAAAGAAGGGUGACAGAGCGUGGCAAAUAGGUUUCGGAUCGGGCUUCAAGUGUAACAGUGUUGUUUGGCGUGCGCUAAGGACUGUCGAUGCAGCCAAGGAAAAGAACGCCUGGACAGAUGAGAUAGAGGAUUUCCCUGUUCAUGUAACCUAUUAAUGGUUUUAUAUAUCUUGUUUAAAUACUAUGUAUAACCUAAACAGUAAACAAUGGUCAGUAACUGAAACUAUAAACUCAGUCAAAAUCACUCUAGUAUAUCUGUAUACGGAUUGUGCACCUAAUGUUUGUACAAGUACGCAUCUAAAAUUACAAAAUUGUAAGUCAGAUGGGGCACCAUUGCACCAGUAAAAAUUAGAUCGUGAUUAUUAGGAUAGUAAUUACAUUACGCAACAUAAUAAUAAAAAUAUAUUUGUUCAUCAUAAUAUAAUUAACAAUAAAAUAUGCAAUGUACUAUUUGGUUGCACAAGAACGACAUUGGAUAGAUUAUUUUUAUUUUGAAGUGUAUUUUCUACAUACAAUACUUAGCUCAUGAGUAUCUAAUGAUCCGAACAGUAUGACAUAAUGAUGAUAUGAAACAAAACAAAAAUAAAGAAGGAGAGGUAAAGACAUUACCUUGUAAAAGAUGGUCACGUGAAGGAAAUGUCUUGAUGGCACAAAGCAAUUGGAAUGACAAAUAAUUGGAGUCGGACAUUGCAUCAAUAGAGUUGAAGCAGCGAAGCUUUUUGAAAACUAAGCGAUGGGCAGUGCGACGCGGCCUCACUUUCUUGCGUUAACCAGAGCGAGGCGACGCCCAACGCAAGAAAGUUGGCGCGUUUCACGCUGUGACGCAGGUUCAAGGUUAUUUUGUCUCCUUUUUGGGUUUGAAUUUGAUUAUUACGUCU